CGUGUAGGCGGCCGACCAAGUCGGGUGUGAAAGCCCUCGGCUCAACCGAGGAAUUGCACUCGAUACUGAUUGGCUAGAGUCCGGGAGGGGGUAGCGGAAUUCCCAGUGUAGCGGUGAAAUGCGUAGAUAUUGGGAAGAACACCAGUGGCGAAGGCGGCUACCUGGACCGGAACUGACGCUGAGGCGCGAAAGCUAGGGGAGCGAAUG
rnacentral:rRNA from 1 species